rnacentral:rRNA from 1 species
UACGUAGGGGGCAAGCGUUGUCCGGAAUCAUUGGGCGUAAAGAGCGUGUAGGCGGCUCGAUAAGUCUGCUGUGAAAGUCCAGGGCUCAACCCUGGAAGGCCGGUGGAAACUGUCGGGCUAGAGUCCGGAAGAGGCGAGUGGAAUUCCCGGUGUAGCGGUGAAAUGCGCAGAUAUCGGGAGGAACACCAAUGGCGAAGGCAGCUCGCUGGGACGGUACUGACGCUGAGACGCGAAAGCGUGGGAGCAACAGG